rnacentral:lncRNA from 1 species
GCCCUGGCGUGCGCGUGGGAGGGAGAGCCGCAGCCGUCGCUGGCGCCGCCCCGCCGCUGUCCGCUUCUCCUCAGCCUAGCGCUCAGCCGCGGCCGGAUCCUCUUUUAUUGCCAGUUCAGGGAAUCCAAGUGGGUUCUUGGACUACAAUGGAAAGUAGAAAGAGACACUAGAAGUAUUUUAAGUUGUCAUUAGAUUUCUUCGGAGUUACUGUUGCCUUUUGAGCUGGCUUGAGGCUGUCCGUCAGACUGAACCGAGAAGGCAUCACUGGGUGUGAAGAUGUGCUGAGGGAGUUUGGAGUGGUAAAGUAGAGGAGAAUAAUUGAGGUAAUGAGAUUUUUGUCUAGUGCUAGCCCUCAGCAUCUCAGGUGUAGUCUGGAAGUAGUCCGAGUAUUUGUUUGAACUCAUUUAGCUGGGUUCUUUCUAGGCUGGCUUACAGGAAGGAUAACGUGAGCUGGUGAUACUGUUAAGAGAUUGAUUUGAACCGUGAACUUUACAGUUCAACUCGGAAAAUGAUUGUCGAGUACCUGUUAAGUGCCAGCCAUGAUUCUAAUUGCUUACGUAGAUGUGACAAUAAACAAAGAGAAAGUCCUACAUAGAGUGGGAAAACAGAACAGUAACCACAAUAAGUACAUUAUGUCAUUAUUGGAAGGUGGGAAGUGCAGUGUGGAAAAAUUAUGUGGUAGCAUAGAGUGAGAUUGAGCCUCAUCAUGAACCAGAUUUGAGCCAAAUAUGAUGGAGAUGAAUAUAUGAGCCAAGCAGAUAGCUGGGAGAAGGAGCCUUGUAGGUGAGUGAAGAGCAAUGCAAAGGGAACAGAAGGUGUCUAGAGUGGAUGUCUGAGGAAGCUGGGUUGUUACUGUGGAAUGAAUGUCACUCAGACUUCAUGACAGCAUGUAACAUAGGAAUAGACAUGGGGAGAGAACCUGCUGGAAGGCUGUGGAGGGACACAGAUGUGCACCAGAGGUAGUGUGGGCUAGGGUAGCAGUAGUAGAGAUGGUAAAAAGUAGAUGGACCCUGGAAAAAGUAGGUGGACCCUGGAUGUAUUUUGAAGGUAUAACCAAUAGGAUUUGCUGACAAAUGGGAUGUAGGGGAUGAGAAGAGGUGAGGCGGGGUGGUACAGUUGACUAUGAGGCAUGUAAUCUGGGCAAUUAGGAGGAUACUGCAGGGCUGUGGCUGGAACUUAGCGUACAGGAACGGGUGAAGAAUUCAUUUUCAGGCAUUUUUAAGUUUGACAUGUCUCUUAGGGAAUCCCAGUAAAGAUGUCAUGCAGCCAUCUGAACCUUGGAAAAGAAGAAAUAGAAAUAAAUGUAUGCUAAGGAUUACUAGAUAAUCAUCGAGGGAGUGAGCAUAGAGAAGAUGGCCAAAAGUGGAGCUAUGGAUCACUCUACCGUUUAAUGGUCAGGAGGAGAGCUAGCAGCCCAGAGCAGGUAUAAGGAAAACCAGGAGCAUAGACUGUCAUGGAAAAAAGGGAUGGAAAUGCUUCAAGAAGAAAGAUGCCUUCAAGUCUGUCAAGUGCAGCAGAAAGAUGAAGGUGAGGGUUGAGGUUUGACCUUUGGAUUUAGCAAGUAGGAAGUAAUAUUAAUGGUGUUUUAGAGCAGUUUUAGGAAAGUGGUGAGAAGUCUGAUUGAAAUACAGUUAGACGUGGCUAGUUCCUACUCUGAAAUGGGAAGGCAGUAGUGAAGUGAAGAUUAUAUUUUGGUUGCCUUAGGUCUAAGGAAGUAAAAACCAGCAUCAUACUGUUAAAGAAAUCUCGGAAAGAAAUACACAGAGACACAGAAUUUGGAUAAAAUAAUAAAAUUUCUUCUCGGGAGUGAGUGGGAACACCAGAAACAGUCUGAUCAGUAUCCUUGCCCUUUUUUCAGCAUUUCCCUUUUUAUAUCCUUUUUAGCCAUUAUCUCAUCCCUAGUGGUCUUUGAUGUGUAAAUACAAUUCCAGUUCCUAUUUACAAGUCACAGACACAAGAUAGGCCAUAUACAUUAUAAAUUCAACCUGGCCUGGUAACUUUGUUAGGUUAAUGAAGUUACAGGUUAGAGUCAGAUAAUCCUCACCUUAAAUAAGGAGUUACGGGAAAAGCAAAUCUUAAAAGAACACAUUACUUAUUUUGCUUCUACAACUACCUUAAUAAUCAGUCUAUUAAGUUAUCUAAAACUUUUCUGUAUCAAUACUUACUAGCACUAGACUAGUGUGUAUGGGGUGCUGUACAACUAAACAUCCUGUGUCAGGUAAAUGAUGUUAUCACUAUUUCGUAGGUGCGAAAACUCAGGUUUUGAGAUGAAAACUUUCUAAAGAGUAGCUGGCCCAUGUUGGAGCUAGGAAGCAGGGUAUUACAUCCCAGCUCUCUUUGACCUUGCAGUCUGUCCUGUACUACUGUGCUACCUUGGGUGGGAAGAUCAUGAACUCUCCAUACUGUCAGGUAAAAGGGCCGAAAACCAAGACCAGACCAGGCCACAACAAGCCAUUAUUAGGGGAAUAGAUCUGCCGGGCUGUCUCUGACCAAAGGAGAGACAAAAGCAAUAUGGCCUGGGCAGGGAGAAUCUUUUAUAGAGACUGGGGUGGGGUAUGUAGGGGCUGAGGUGGGGUUAAGUGAGGUAGUGACUAGGGAAUGGAGGAGCCGGUGAUGUCACUAGGUGGUAGGAGGUGAGUGAGUAGUAAGUUACUUUCUAGGGGGGAACGGCCAUACUGGGAAGAAGGGUUUAUUCUUUGGUGGGAGCAACCAUCUUGGCAUGAUGUCACACAGGGGAGGGGGCAAGGCAUGAUAGGAAGAGGGCAGCUACUAUACAUAAUAGCUGCUGAAGUAGUGGGAGACCUAUCAUUCCAGGCUUUUGUUUUAUGAUAGUUGGACGAAGGUCUCUUCUCCUGGAGCUGCUUCCUGCUGACAAGGGUUGAAGAUUGGGGCUAGACUUGGAUCUGAUGAGGCCCAUGGCAAGUGGGGACCUCUUCCUUUUGUCGUACUGGCUGGUACCCUGCCGUGAUGAACUCCAUGACUGCCUGAUUGGUGAAUGCCCUCAAUCAUUGCUGCAAGAAAUUUUGAAAACAGCGAACCAGGCACAGUCCAAAACAGAGAAUUAAACAGAUAAUACUGAGGGGUCCCAAGAGUAGUAAUAGCCAGGGGAGCCAUGAGCUCCAGGAACCAAACGUACCCCACCAUUGAUUAGUCCCUUGGGGGCCAUAUGUAUCUGGCCCAUUGAGUUUUAAUAUUUUUCAUUUGACAUGUAAUUUCUUUUUUCAUUAUUUACCUAGGUUUUACAGAGACAGCUGGAUGUUUAGGGGCUCAUUUGUUAUAGAAGUAAGAGACUGUUAUAGAAGUAAGAGAUCAUAGCUCCUGUUCUAAGGGCCCAUGUGUCAUGUCCUUGCUCUUAGAGAAUGAGUGGAAAAGUGAUAAACACAAUUUAUAUAAUCUUUAUAAUCUUUUUUUUUUUUGGAAUAUGAAAGGUGUAUGUAACUGAGCACAUGUCUUCUGGAGGCCAACAUACUGAUGAGUAUCGUGUUACUAUGAACCUGACUUGUCCUUUAAAUUCAAGGCCAUGAAAACACACAUUUUAGGUUGAUAGUUCCAGCAAAGCCAUGGAAUAGUUGUGUAAAAGACAGUUUUAUUCCUGUAUCUCUCAGUUUUUGGAGGCCUCCUAGAUAUAUUUAAAAAUAAAGAGAACUGAUAACCUCAACAAGGACACUAGCCAACUUAAGGGGAUCAAGUGUAACAUAAAAGGCUUGAUCUUUUUAGACACGAGUAGGUAUCCAGGAAAUAAAAGCACAAUGAGGGAAGAAGCAUCAUAAACAGAGAACAAGGAUGUACGUUAUUUUAAAAGGAAUAAAUCUUGUAGCUGCUUGGUAUAGAACUUAUCCUGACUGUGGCUGACAAGCAGGUGAUUUUUUCCCAAUACUCUUACUUUAUGGUUUUUUGUUUUUUGUUUUUGAUCACUACACGAUAGUUAAUUAGUUAUCACAGAAUCAGAAAAAUACUUAACCUAAAAGGAGAGACCUGGAGACCAGUGGUUUCUAGGAUUAGACACCUGUAAAGAACUUCUUUUAAUUUUUCUGGAAAGAAUCUGUACACACUUGUAGCUAAUUAAUGAUUUUCCCUUCUAUUUAGUACCCAAAGUUUUGUCUUUUUGAAAUGGCUGUGUCAUGAGUGAACCAAAAGAUUUUAAUGGGUGGGCUAUGUCUUAAUUUUUCUGAAGUCUAGCUUUGUUAUUAUGUCAUUGUUUUAUACCUCUUUUGGUUAUUUUUUCUGCUGAGUGUUUAAGACCAAGUUAAAGUGAGACCUGUGUCAGUCAAUAUGAACCUGUUGUUAUCCAUCAAGGUCAGUUAAGUCUCCCCGGGCCAUUACUUUAGAACCAUAUAUAGAGCCUCUCUGCUGCUUUGUCAGUGUCAGCCAUCUGGAUGGGUCAUGGCCUUACUUGACCAAGUUGUUUUCAGUGAAAUCAUGGGAGAUUUUUUCUUGGUGACCCUCCCUUGGCACACAGUACAUUGUCCUCUGGUGUCCAGCAAUCUCCCUGAUUAGGAGGUUGAGUGACUUAGCAAAGACGUAGGACCCUGUAGAGAAGGUUUCCUCAUGUCCUGGAUCUUUGUUGACCUUGAGGGGCCAGGGCCAAAAUAUUGGCUGUCCUCAUAGCCCAGUUACCUUUUUAGUUUUGGUCUCCAAACUUUAGUUGUUGAACACCCAGAAGAGAAGGUCAAUAGCAUUAGCAUUGUAACAAGAGUAAUGAGUUUAACUAUUAUGAUUUUACCUGAAUAACAAGCAUUUUGGAAUUUAAAUAAAGAGAACUGUUAUUGUUAUCAGUCAUGGUUGUUUUAGUAGUUGAAUUCCUGUAGAAUAUUAACAGAAAAAGAGCCACAAAUAAUAUUUUAACAUGACAAUUAUGAUGACUUUACCUUUGUAACACAUUUAAAUGUCCAUCUUGAUAUAAAAUAGCCAUUGUUAAACACUCAUUUUUUAAAAAAAAAAA